ensembl:lncRNA
AGGGCAUCUCUGUAAGCUGCGUCUCCGGGACCCUUUGAUUUGGUUAAUUAGACACAAAGUUGUUCUGUGCUGUGGGAGGAAGGUAUGCGCCGAGGAGCCCGGCUACCGCCGCUGUGCUAAUGAGAGCCUGCCUCACUUAAAUCCUCACACUGUCACCGCCGAAAUGUUGCUGCAGAGACCUCGGAAUUCCCCGAGCAUUUGAUUUCAAGGGGUUAUUUCACAGGUAAGGAAUGCAGCCCUCUGCCUCCAUCGCACAUCUCCUUCCCCCACCAGGGGCCGGCCAGCCGCUCUCCUUGCCAGGCUGCGGUCCUGCUGAGGGGCUCAGUGCCACCCGCAGCUCCUAGGAAGCCUCACCCAGGCACUGCACGCAGCCCUUCCAUCCCUGCCCCACACCGCAGUGCGCCGAUCGCCACCCGGAGAUGCCUACAGAGCCUCCCAGCUACACGUCUGCGCUUGGAGUGCCCCAAUU